AACGCUGGCGGCGUGCCUAAUACAUGCAAGUCGAGCGGGUCUCUUCGGAGGCCAGCGGCGGACGGGUGAGGAACACGUGGGUAAUCUGCCUUUCAGGCCGGAAUAACGCCCGGAAACGGGCGCUAAUGCCGGAUACGCCCGCGAGGAGGCAUCUUCUUGCGGGGGAAGGCCCAAUUGGGCCGCUGAGAGAGGAGCCCGCGGCGCAUUAGCUGGUUGGCGGGGUAACGGCCCACCAAGGCGACGAUGCGUAGCCGACCUGAGAGGGUGACCGGCCACACUGGGACUGAGACACGGCCCAGACUCCUACGGGAGGCAGCAGUAGGGAAUCUUCCGCAAUGGGCGCAAGCCUGACGGAGCAACGCCGCGUGAGCGAAGAAGGCCUUCGGGUUGUAAAGCUCUGUUGCUCGGGGAGAGCGGCAUGGGGGAUGGAAAGCCCCAUGCGGGCGUAAAGCGUGCGUAGGCGGUCGAGCAAGUCUGGAGUGAAAGUCCAUGGCUCAACCAUGGGAUGGCUUUGGAAACUGCUUGACUUGAGUGCUGGAGAGGCAAGGGGAAUUCCACCUGUAGCGGUGAAAUGCGUAGAGAUGUCGAGGAAUACCAGUGGCCAAGGCGCCUUGCUGGACAGUGACUGACGCUGAGGCACGAAAGCGUGGGGAGCAAACAGGAUUAGAUACCCUGGUAGUCCACGCCGUAAACGAUGAGUGCUAGGUGUUGGGGGGACACACCCCAGUGCCGAAGGAAACCCAAUAAGCACUCCGCCUGGGGAGUACGGUCGCAAGACUGAAACUCAAAGGAAUUGACGGGGGCCCGCACAAGCAGUGGAGCAUGUGGUUUAAUUCGAAGCAACGCGAAGAACCUUACCAGGGCUUGACAUCCCUCUGACACCCUCAGAGAUGAGGGGUCCCUUCGGGGCAGAGGAGACAGGUGGUGCAUGGUUGUCGUCAGCUCGUGUCGUCAGAUGUUGGGUUCAGUCCCGCAACGAGCGCAACCCUUGACCUGUGUUACCAGCGCGUUGAGGCGGGGACUCACAGGUGACUGCCGGCGUAAGUCGGAGGAAGGCGGGGAUGACGUCAAAUCAUCAUGCCCCUGAUGUCCUGGGCUACACACGUGCUACAAUGGGCGGAACAAAGGGAGGCGAAGCCGCGAGGCGGAGCGAAACCCAAAAAGCCGCUCGUAGUUCGGAUUGCAGGCUGCAACUCGCCUGCAUGAAGCCGGAAUUGCUAGUAAUCGCGGAUCAGCAUGCCGCGGUGAA
rnacentral:rRNA from 1 species